rnacentral:rRNA from 1 species
UUAUUUUAGCGGCGGACGGGUGAGUAACGUGUGGGCAACCUACCUUUUACUGUGGAAUAAUCGUUGGAAACGACGACUAAUACCGCAUACGGUUCUUGGAAGGCAUCUUCUAAGAAAGAAAGGAGUAAUUCGGUAAAAGAUGGGCCCGCAUCUGAUUAGCUAGUUGGUGAGAUAAUAGCCCACCAAGGCAACGAUCAGUAGCCGACCUGAGAGGGUGACCGGCCACAUUGGGACUGAGACACGGCCCAAACUCCUACGGAAGGCAGCAG